GCAGUCACUUGCGUCUCUCGUCCAGAUGGCCUUGUCGUUUGUGUGAGAGGGGCAUGUGUGCAACGUUUCUGAAUGGGAUUGGCCUAAUAUUAGGUGUAUCGUCCUUAAUAUUUAGCCAGUAUACUGAGUGAUGUAAUUUUUAAAAGUGUCUAACAAGAAAUUUAGCCUCUCUUAUUCAGAAACAAGUGAAUGAUUAUCCAUGGAGUUGAAUAAUAUAUAAAAUACGCAACUAGAUCUUAGCCAGGCUUGGAGAACGACAGUGGAAGUGUGUGUGAAGGGAUUUGAAUUUUUACCAUUUUGAAGACAAGUCAACUUGUGGGAUGAAACAGGCAUAACUUACCAUCAUAUGUAAAGAUAAACGCAAGUUUUAGGCCAGCUUAAAUAACAAUAGAAAUGGAAAUAUCUAACUGUAGAAAACUGUGAAUAAGUGCUUAUUUUUCACUGUUUAUGAAAAAUUAAUUUUUUCUUCAUUCCACAUGAAUGUUGCACGACUGCCACACCUAAAUUUACAGCCUGCUCAACAUAAACGAGAACGGAUCGCUAGUAAGCAACAGGAGAGUUCGGGAAGUCUUAGCCCUAAUCUUCAACCCCCAACCCCACCAUCUUUUUCACACACACACGAGCCUUUUACACCGAGAGCUGUUGGAAACUACAUAUUGUUUGAACAGAUCGAGGGAACAACCUUA